UGAGGAAUAUUGGGCAAUGCCCGAAAGGGUGACCCAGCAACGCCGCGUGGAGGAUGAAGUCCUUAUGGAUGUAAACUCCUUUUAGAGGGGACGAAAAGCCCGAUUUGUCGGGAAUUGACGGUACCCUCAGAAAAAGCACCGGCUAACUACGUGCCAGCAGCCGCGGUAAUACGUAGGGUGCGAGCGU
rnacentral:rRNA from 1 species